UAAUCAUUAACAGAAGCAAUGAGCUCUUGAGUGUUUCAUUCCAGAGAGCAAGACCAAAUCGGCUGGAUCACGAGGACAACAGAAGCCUAGACAACUCAUUCUAUCCAAAUAACCACUAAAAACUUGAAGUUUCAGAGUAAAAAGGUUGUGUUACAGAAUACCUAGCAUGUUGACUACUGAGAAUGGACCUAAAAGGCACAUUUACAGCUGGAAACCUCAUUCUGUCGGAGGCACUCAACCUGGUAUCAGUCACCCUGGGAGAUGUAUCAACAGCAAGGCCUGGCAUCUGAGCUCCAGACCCCAGCGCUGGAGAAAUACGGUAAUCAGACGUGAGAAAUGCCCUCCACCCUUGUGUUCUCGUUUUCAUGCUCAUAUGGAGGCCUGGCCUGACCAUUUCAGAAACCCACAAUUCUUAAACAUGCAUCCCAGACCAGGGCCUAAUCAUCUGGGGCAAAAACAACGACAGCAGAGUGCUCCACAACCUCAAAGAUGUCCAGGUUAGUACUGAUAUAUAGUCCUUUUACAGGGCACAGGGGUUAAAUUUAACAAACUGCCCAAACUAAUCAGUCAUUAUUUGAGCUUCUAAAUUAAAUCAGUCGUUAUUAGUUUGUUGUUGUUGUUAAAAUUACC
ensembl:lncRNA